rnacentral:misc_RNA from 1 species
AACACUGUUAGUUGUUCUGAUGAACGAACGCUAACAAAAUAUUCCCUUUUGGACACAGCAAUGAAAAAAUAUUUCGCUUCUAAAAGACUUAGAAGUGUAACUAUUCCCGAGUUCAACUACACCACGCAAGUAGGCCUCAUGAGGUGGCAUAUGGAGUUCUACAACGGAACUAUAGUAGGCUUGAAUACCAUUGAAAGAGUGGGUUCGAACUACUUUGAAGCAAAGUGGAAUGAAAAUAUACAAGUUCGCGCGGCCUUGAGGUUAGAAGGUCUCAAUAUUUCAAUAGCCUUUCGGAAGAAGGACCUAAUUGGAUAUACGAAGGCGACAGCUACGGCAUUCGCCCCAGCCAUUGAGUUGGUGGCGGAAAUACGAGACGCAAUGCCAAAAAUGCACCACAUUUGAAAUCGCCCUCCAGAAUGCGAUGAUCAACUACAGUCUAGACCCAACGCCUCUACCCAAAGUCACAAGAGACCUGUUUGCAAGCCUCGCUCAGGUCGUGGUUACCAAUGGAACCGUCCGAGGCUUGUCCAGGUUACGUCAGUCGGGAGACAUUGUCGCAAGGAUCGAUGAGUGCGGUGCGCUUGUUUUCUUCGAUGUGGCAGUCCGCAACCUAUCAGCGACACUUCAUGUGAAUGUCACCACACCGUUAGUCGAUAUCACUGCCAUCGUGACCGUCAACAUCUCAGCGAGGACUGUCAUGAAGGUUGUUGAGCGGAACGCCACUCUUGUGCUGAAUCAGCUGGUUGUCAAUUUAACAGACACAGUACACGUCAGUGUAACGCCAAUAGGAACACUGAGCUCUGUCGUUGCGUUUUUUCUACCACCGAAAUUUCUUGCUGAAUUGAUAAAACGUAACAUUCACCAAUUUAUGAACAGCACAAUACAAAGCGGUCUUGACUCACUGUACACUUUUGCGCACGGAGAUGCAAGUGCUGCAUGAACGCCUCAAGAACAACUGAUCCUCCCAAAAUGAAAAUAAACGAAGCAUUUGUUUUUUGCGGUGCUGCAACAUUCCCGCUUCAGUGAAUUCAAUAAAUUGUUUGUCUGCAUAACAUCUGCAGUGUGAAAUAUUUUGUAGAUAUUACA